GGUAGAACCAAGACCUCCCUGGCUACAAUGAGGAAAAAGUUGGAAAGCAGAAAGGGCUGACUUGUAAUAACACAAGUGAAUUUUUUUUGUGCUUUUUAUUUUGAAAUAAUUCUAGAUUUACAAGAACUGGUAAAAAUAUUGCAAAUGGGUCCUAUGUGCACUUAACCCAGCUUUCUUUAAUGGUCACAACUUGGCCAGUCCUGGUGCAGUGAUGUUUGCAACACAUUGAUCACAACCAGGCUAUGAUGAGAAAUGGCCAAUCAAAAUGCAGAACUACCUUGCCCAGAAGGCAGUGAUUGGUACAGAAGAGCAGGAUCAGCCUGGAGAAAGGUGGAAAAUGAUCUGAAUCUGGGAUUCAAAAGAAAAUAUCCAGUACGUGCUGCUAGAGAGUUAUAAGGAAAACCACAAUAUCUUAAAAGAAGAGAGAAAGAGUACUUCAAGAAGGCUGAUGGAUUCAUAUUUCAAAUGCUGCGACAGGUCAGAAUGACAAGGGCCAUCACUUCCCCAUGAUGACUGGUUUCUCUUCAGAAGCUUUGGAUGCAACUUCAGACUAAGAACAAACUGAACAGUAAUACCAAGAGCAGUGUAACAAUUACCACCAGUAACCCUCCAAAAUUUCUAAUCCACUGUAAUGAGUUAAGGUCUGCUAAAUUCAUCGUUAAACUUUCUAAGGUAUCAAUCAGAUCCUAGAAGCAAGUUCAAAUGUGCCCUGAAGCCUUCAAAGAUUUGCUCUUUUAGUUUUGAAAUAUCAAGGGAUAAGUUAUUGUCCAAUCCUAUUAAAUGUCUUUUUAUUUUAUCCCGGUCAUGUUCAAUUUGAUUAAACUCAAAUGGAGUAAGACAGAAAUCUGUAGUGUUCUAAUCACAUUUUAUCUGGGGCACAGAGCUCCAAACUCAUUACUCUGUCACCAAGCCAAACUAUGCUUUGUCCGAGAUCACUGAUUUGAUUAGCCAAUUUAUGAUCAAUUCCAGACUGUGAAUUUCAUAAUCGAGUGGAAUUCUUGUGCCAGUCAUUGACAGGGUGUGCUGUUUGAAUGGAUUGAUGAAUGGCAACUCCAGCAGCAGCCACACUAUCACUGCUAUCAGUCCCAUAAAGACUGCUAUUUAGGUGAAAAUAAAUCCUUUAGACCUUCUUAUGAGAGUUUUGAGCACAUCAGUAAUAAUAUGGGUAGAGGGAGAAGCUUUCCAGGGGCAUUGGAGAUGCACAGGGACCCAAACGCCUUCCUGAGAUCUAUUAAAAUAUUAAUAUUUGCAUUAAAAGUGGAGUUUAUGUAAGUAAACAACUGGCAAUCUUUACAGCUUAUUGUCUGAGUCAGGAAGAAUAAUUAAUUUUCUGACAACAAGCGUGUAAAGGUGUUUAACACAAGCUUGUAAAGGGACCUCAUGAUAAGCUUUGAGAUAUUCCUCAUAAUAAGCAGAGCGAGAGCCAUAUUUGGGAUAGAUCUUAGUAUUAUGGCCUUGCCAUACUCUCCAUUUGGAAAUCUCCAUUGCUAACUUCUGUAACUCAGGAUGUUCUGGCCCCAGAUAAGGAUGCAACAUUUUUGGUCUUAGGGUGGUCAGGCCCGGCUAUUUCCACUUUGUCUUUGGUCCCCAUUCUCCCUGCAUUCAUAAAGCAUAUUUACAUGCUGCAGGACACUCAUAGCUCUAUUCCUUUAACAAAGGAGAGGUCUUUCAAGUCUCAGCUCUUCCACAGUGUGUGACAACCCUCAAUUAUAAUUUAAAUUUCUGUGUGUUAGCUUCCUUAUCU